AGUAAACGAGUCAGUGAAUUGUCGUUCGGUUUAUUUUCUACGUAUUUUUGAGCUUUAUCGAAAUUUCUUUAUUGGAAGCCAGCCUUGUGCGCCAGUGUGUGUAAAGGCCUUGCCAGUUGAACAACGCGUACAUUUACAGUAUCGAUUCUUUGCAAAUAGAAUAAUGAAGCUGUUAAUAGCUCUAUCAUCCCUCUUGGCUGUUUCCUUUGCAGCAGAAAGUUGCUACAAAGAUGUCUCGUCGGACUGUUCGCAAACAUCUAGCAGUUUGACUCUUCCAAGCUGUAACGCGAUUUAUGGACAAUAUGGGCGCUACGGCAACGUAGCAUCAGAAAUGCAAGCCUACGCCAACCUUCACCUAGAAAGAUCCUAUCAGUAUCUUCUUUCCGCCGCCUAUUUCAACAAUUAUCAGACCCACAGAACUGGCUUUGCGAAAAUUUUCAAGAAACUAUCUGACGAAGCAUGGGAGAAGAGCAUCAACCUGAUUAAGCAUAUUACAACUAGAGGUAAACAAUAAUUUAUUUUUAC